rnacentral:lncRNA from 1 species
GGGUACACCAGCCAGCCCACGGCACAGAGCCUGCCUGUUGGUCUCUACCCACAGGGGAUCCCCUGCUGCUCCAGCAUCAGAUUUGGGACACACCCCCCCCACCCCGCCCCACCAGAGGGCAUCAGCUAUGCCUAGCAGUUACGUCCCCGUGGCUAAAUUAAACUCCCAUUGGCUAAAUUAGGCCCGAAGAGAGGGGCACCUGCUGCUAAGCUGUGUAUGUUGUCCCCUAGGACUCCCACCGUUUGCUGAGCUCCACAUGACAACAGCAGACGACAGGCCGCACUGAUCCCACCUGGCUUACAGGUGCUGUCACACAGGACUGCUGACUAAACACUUUCAAGCACAGCGGACCCUUGAACAACGCAGGUUCAAACUGUGCAGGUCCACCCACAGGGAUGUUUUUCAAUCAGAGUUACACCAAGUGUCCCUGCCUCUCCUGCCUCCCUUCCCACUUCCUCCAUGUCUUCCUCUCUGCCACCCUGAGGCAGCAAGACCAGCCCCUCCUCCUCAGCCACUCAACAUGAAGACAACGAGGAUGAAGACUUCUAUGAUAAUCCACUUCCACUUAGUAAAUGCUUUCUCUUAAUGAUAUUCUUAAUGACAUUUUAUUUUCCCUAGCUUAGUUUAUUGUAAGAAUACAGUAUAAAUAC